rnacentral:lncRNA from 1 species
GGCAGGACCAGCAUUGUAAUACAGUGGUUAAACUGCUGCUUGCAACAGUGGCAUCCCAUAUGAAUGACAAUUUGAGUCCUGAGUUACCCUUCCCAUCCGGCUCCCUGCUACCGUGCCUGUGAAGGCAGCAAAAGAUGAGCCAAGUAGGUGGGCUCCUGCUGAUGACAUGGGAGAUGAGAGACCUGGAAGGAGUCAGGCAUCUGGCUUUAGCCUGGCCCAGCCCUGGCUCUUGCAGCCAUUUGAGGAGUGAACCAGUGCAUUGAGGAUCUCUCUCUGUCUUUCCCUCUUUCUCUGUAACUCUACCUUUCAAAUAAAUGAAAUAUUAAAAAAAAAAAAAAACAUGAUUAUGGGCAGUUCUUUUUACUUCUAGUCUUGCAGUUUUCACUGAUUCCUGAGGUUAAUUAGGUCAAUGACUUCUACCGCUCCUCAUUUCAGUGGUGGGGCUUGUUCAGGUGGAAGCCAGGAGUCCAGAGCUCCAUCAGGGUGUCCCUCAUAGAGUCAGGGUCACAGGAUUUGAAACAUCCUCCACUUUACCCAGUGCUUUAUGAGGUAACUGGAUCAGACGUAGAGCUGCUGGGACUCAAACCUGGGCUCUAAUAUGGGAUGCCGCUCUUGCAGGCAGCAGCUUAGCCUGUGCCAACAUAAUGUCUGCUGUGAUUCUGUCUUUAAACACUUUUUUUCUUUUUACCUCUUUCUACCUCAUUAUGGUAAGUUUCUAUUGACAUAUUCAAGCUCAUUGAUUCUUUCCAUGGCUAAUCUAAUACCAAGUCUAUCAAAGACAUUUUUUUUUAUUUUUCUUACAAUGUUUUCACUCCAUUUUUUUCCCUACAAUUUCCACUUCUCUUCUUCUUACAUAACCCAUGUUCUUUUCUAUGUUGUACAUUUUCUCCAUUACAGCUCUUAACAUAUUAAAAAUAGUUACUUUACAUUCUUGUCUGAUAAUUCUAAAGUCUCUGAUCUGUGUCAUAUGUAAAUUGGGUUCUGAUACUUGCUCUGUCUUUUCAAAUAUUUUUCCCUCUUAACUUUUAGCAUAACUUCUAAUUUACGUUGAAUGACAGAGAUGAUGAAUUUGAUAAUAUGAAGUGCAGUAUGAAAUAUUUAAUGUGAGUUUUUAUGUUACCUUGCUAGGAUUCAAGUUAUAUAUAAUGCUUUUUAUAACUAUAGGUGUCAGAGGCUUCUGAAUGCUCCAGAGUUCUUGCUUUUUUUUUUUCUCCCUAAAUAGAGUCUACUUGCAGCUGUUGCAGCUGUUAUUAUACUAUAUUCCUAUUGAUGUGGUGGGAAGGUGUGGAGGAGGUAAAUCAUUCCAUAUCCUAUAAUUAAAUCUUAAUCUUGGGGCCGGCACCGUGGCUCACUUGGUUAAUCCUCUGCCUCCGGCGCCAGCAUCCCAUAUGGGCACCAGGUUCUAGUCUCGGUUGCUCCUUUUUCCAGUCCAGCUCUCUGCUGUG